rnacentral:ncRNA from 1 species
UUAUGGCCAGAAGUCAGUAUCUCACGGGGUACUGUCCAGUGCUCAAUCCAAAGGAAUCUACAUCCCUGUCGCAUUGGUCGAGCCAAUCGGCAAAAUAUCUAAACAGGUAACAGGGAGCAAGUAGAGGUAACCCCUCGAAAGUUACCUGUUACC